rnacentral:tRNA from 1 species
GCCGGAGUGGCGGAACUGGCAGACGCGCACGACUCAAAAUCGUGUGCCCGCAAGGGCAUGAGGGUUCGACUCCCUCCUUCGGCACCA